rnacentral:rRNA from 1 species
UGGGGAAUUUUGCACAAUGGGCGGAAGCCUGAUGCAGCGACGCCGUGUGGGGGAUGAAGGCCUUCGGGUUGUAAACUCCUUUCGUCAGGGACGAAGUUUGUUUGACGGUACCUGGAUAAGAAGCACCGGCUAACUACGUGCCAGCAGCCGCGGUAAUACGUAGGGUGCGAGCGUUGUCCGGAUUUACUGGGCGUAAAGGGCUCGUAGGUGGUGUGUUGCGUCGUCUGUGUAAUCCAGGGGCUUAACUUUUGGUGGGCAGGCGAUACGGGCAUUGCUUGAGUGCUGUAGGGGAGACUGGAAUUCCUGGUGUAGCGGUGAAAUGCGCAGAUAUCAGGAGGAACACCGAUGGCGAAGGGAGGGCUCUGGGCAGUUACUGACGCUGAGGAGCGAGAGCAUGGGUAGCGAACAGG